AGAGUUUGAUCCUGGCUCAGAUUGAACGCUAGCGGCAUGCUUAACACAUGCAAGUCGAACGGUAACAGGCCUAGCUUGCUAGGUGCUGACGAGUGGCGGACGGGUGAGUAACGCGUAGGAAUCUACCUUAUAGAGGGGGAUAACCUGGGGAAACCCAGGCUAAUACCGCAUAGCUCCUAAGGGAUAAAGCAGGGGACCGC
rnacentral:rRNA from 1 species